rnacentral:lncRNA from 1 species
AGCUCGAGGCAAGAGUUUUAUAGUCAGACACAUAAUUUUUUGUGGGUUGAGAGUCACUGGCUUCUGUCACCCCCUGAAGGGAAGGAUGGGGUAGGAAACAUAAAGAAGGGGAAAAUGGAAUUUAUGAUAAAUAGCUGGAUUCAACUUCAGAAUUAAAAGUCCUGCCAGUUUGCUAGCAGAUACUAUUAAUUUGAAUUUUCAUUCACAUUUCCAGUCUGGCGUUUGAAAAGGUUCUUUGUAUUCAUUCAAUGAUGAGGAUUUCAUCCACCUGUCUGGAACGGCUUCAUCCCCUCAUUCCUGUUCUCCAAUCGCCCCAAACUACUUGUCUCUACCUGUAGCCCCACCGCCACCAAUUGCCCAGGUGCAAUCAAUAGGGCUGGCUAACUCCAGCCUUUUGAGUAGAGGCUUCUGGUUCCUGGAUAGUGUUCCGUGGCUGCCGCCCUUUUUUUCCUGACGAUCACAGAAAGGCGCUAGUGACUCAUAAGUAAGUACUUCUCAGU